CCCACAGACUUUCCUGCCCCGGCUGACUUUGAACCUUGUUCCUCAGAUUUCAGUUUCCUGAGUAGCUAGAAUAAUAGACGUGAGCCAUUGUUGCCCAGCACAUUUUUAAAGCACAGUCUUUGACCAGUGUGAGAAAAUUCACUCCAAAAUUAAAUUGGGAUUGAUUGUAUAGUUAUCCACUGGACCCCUCCCAUUUCUUUCCUCUCUUCUGUAUGUGUGUGAAUGUUUUUGUCCAUGAAUUCUACUGGAUGUGUUCACCACCACCAUUCCUUCUCCCCACUCUCAUACUUUGUCCCCUAACCCCAUAAACUGUUUUCUGUAAAUCUAUUCAGUCUUUGUUGGACUAAAAGCUGAAACAAAAAUCUUGUUGUAACUGUUUUUCUCCGUACCAUAGAACACACUGACACCUGGCUGAGGACCAGGGCAUUACUUGUGUUCUUCCCCUUUGACAAAAGCUUAAUUAGUGGUUAGAGGAAGGCCUCAGGCAGAGCACAAAUACAAAUUUAAUGGCGAAUCCAACUCCAACAAAUUACUUAGAGUCAGCAUGGAUAUGAGAGGAGUUGUCCUGUUGCUGACACAGGUGUGCUAAUCCUAUGCUCUAUAUGAUUUCCUGCUCCCCUUUUUUCCAUUCUCAGUACCUAGAGAGUAAAACCCAUAAUGAGAUGAAGACUAAAAAGACACUCUGGAUAGUGUACAACAUCUACAAGGAAAUGGGACCUUCAGAAACAGCAGUUUUCCAGGAAGUCAAUGAACUUUAGGUAUCCAUUUACACACAGAUAAUACUUCGUGCAAUUUUAACUUGCCCAUUUCCAAGAAGGGCUGACUGAUUAGUGGAUCUAAACAAUAAAUAAAACAUUUGCUUUUCUAUUUGUAGAAAUUAUCUGUUCAGAUGGUAAGUAUCAAGCAUUCUGACUGGGCAGGCAGUGGGUGAGACCAGUAGAUGGAGUUAUGUGGCAGUGAUGUGGCACAGUGAGCUCCAAGGUUGGAGAUGCAGACUAGCCUGCUGCUGGGACUCUCCCAUGGCAGACAAGGGCCUUGUAAUUUCUCUUCCUGCCUCAGCCUGGCCUGUGCUGUUAGCAAGUAGUCAGCUGUAGCCUGCUGAAGAUUAGGAUUGUAACUGGCCUUGAGAUUAACUUGAAUUUCUUUAGCAACCAUGGACUUAAUGGUUAAGACCAGCAGCUUGGGGGAGGAGCCCUGGCAUCAGAACAGGACUUGGGAAGGCAGAGGCUCUGUAUAACAGGCUUUAUAAAGGUUGACAUACUCCAAAACCAAUUCUUUUUUUAACAAUGAAAAGGAUGGAAAGCAUGGCCUUAAAGCUUGAUGAGGAAAUUUCUGGAGAAGAAUCCCUUUGUUUUCAAUGGUUAUUUAUGUCAUCCUCUCUAGUCAUUUUUCUAAAUGAGAGUGGAAAAUCGAAAGACAACAGUCCAGUUUUUUGAAAAGUUAUUUUGCUGGGCUCUGUAAGAAAACUGACUGAAUUAGAAAAAUCUGGUUAUAAAAAUCUGGU